GACGAACGCUGGCGGCGUGCUUAACACAUGCAAGUCGAACGGAAAGGCCUGUCCUUCCUUGUGUUGGACGGGUACUCGAGUGGCGAACGGGUGAGUAACACGUGAGUGAUCUGCCCCCAACUUGGGUAUAAGCCUGGGAAACUGGGUCUAAUUCCCGAUAGGACUGCAGGGUGGUGCCUGUGGUGGAAAACGAUUUUCUAGUGGUUGGGGAUGAGCUCGCGGCCUAUCAGCUUGUUGGUGGGGUAAUGGCCUACCAAGGCGGCGACGGGUAGCCGGCCUGAGAGGGUGGACGGCCACAUUGGGACUGAGAUACGGCCCAGACACCUACGGGAGGCAGCAGUGGGGAAUAUUGCACAAUGGGCGGAAGCCUGAUGCAGCGACGCCGCGUGGGGGAUGACGGCCUUCGGGUUGUAAACUCCUUUCGACCGCGAGGAAGCCGCCUGGUUGGAAGGGUGGUGACGGUAGUGGUAGAAGAAGCACCGGCUAACUACGUG
rnacentral:rRNA from 1 species